UAAAGGUGGUUUGCGUAGAAUCAUGAUUUGAAUACAUAAUCAGAUUCGAAAGUUGGUGAGCUGAAAAUGCUUGAAAGAACCAUAAUUCAAGAGCAAUGAGCUCUGUGGGGGAAAACUGUGUAUUUUGAUGUUGUAUCAUAUUUUGGUGCCUCCUGCAUUUGGUAAUUUUCCAGCUUGUAUUAAAAAUUCAACUAUGUUGAGG
rnacentral:misc_RNA from 1 species